GGGAAGAAAUUGGUAUACUUAGCCCCAUAUGUUCUCAAUGAGCAUUGGAUGUUGAUGGCGAUUUGUCCUCGACUAAAUGAAAUGUUUUGGUUUGAUUCACUUGGUCAUGGGCCGCGUGAAGACAUUAAACAUAUAAUGGAAACGUGUAUGACUGCAACAA